GGGAAUGUGGCUCCUCNGGGAGUGUUAUAGCCCGUUGCAUAAUNCCUUGCGGUGGANUGAGGACCGNGCAUCUGCAAGGAUGCUGGCGUAAUGGUCACCAGCGACCGGUCUUGAAACACGGACCAAGGAGUCGUCUUCGUAUGCGAGUGUUCGGGUGUCAAACCCCUACGAGUAAUGAAAGUGAACGCAGGUGAGAGUUUCGGCGCAUCAUCGACGGAUCCUGAUGUUUUCGGAUGGAUUUGAGUAAGAGCAUUUGGGCCCGGACCCGAAAGAAGGUGAACUAUGCCUGUAUAGGGUGAAGCCAGAGGAAACUCCGGUGGAGGCUCGCAGCGGAUCUGACGUGCAAAUCCAUCGUCAAAUAUGGGCAUGGGGGNGAAAGACUAAUCGAACCUUCUAGUAGCUGGUUUCCGCCGAAGUUUCCCUCAGGAUAGCAGUGUUGAGGUCAGUUUUAUCAGGUAAA
rnacentral:rRNA from 1 species